CCACUGGCUGAGGAGGAAUGACGCGCCAAGUGCGCCACAGGAGAGCCCGCCCACGCCCCUGAGGGAUUGGCUCCCAGAGGACGUCCUCUCACAUCUAUUUGCUGCUGAGUCUGUCGGUGCUGGCGAGGGACGACGCCCGGCCUUCGCAGUGCACGCCGGGUGUCGUAGUCCAAUGGCGCUACUCGCGAGCAUGCGUAGCCGGCUCUCCUGGCGCUGACUUCCGGCCCGGCAGCUGAGCGAGUCCGCCUUCCUGCAAAGCCUAGUCUUUCUCAACUAUGCAUCUGCACUACUCUGAAAUUCUCAUGUGUGUCUGAUUCCACAAAGAAUUCUUUGGUUGAUCUCCACGAGAAUGGCUUCCCAGUGAUCUCAGAAGAAAGGGAAUCUGCUCUCUAGGGAAGCAGCUAAUCACUGGGCCAGUUUGCUGAAGCAAAUCGUGACUGCAACAAGGAGUCCCAAGGCAUACCCACCCCCAAGCGAGAACUCCCCAGAGAGACAGAGAUCCGCCCUUCCCAGCACCGCUCUGCUGAAGCUUCCCGCCAGCGCUUCAGGCACGUCUGCUACCAGGAGGCAGCCGGCCCCCACGAAGCCUUCAGCAAGCUCUGGGAGCGCUGCUGUCAGUGGCUAAGACCUAAGACACACUCAAAAGAGCAAAUACUGGAGCUGCUGGUUUUGGAGCAGUUUCUGACCAUCUUGCCAGAGGAGAUCCAGACCUGGGUGAGGGAGCAACAUCCAGAAAAUGGCGAGGAAGCUGUGGCUCUGGUGGAGGACGUGCAGCGUGCAUCUGGGCAACGGGAGAGAAAAGGCAACUCAGAACCCGCUGGAUUUAGUUACGAGGUGGGUGAGGAGCGCAGUAAUCCGCUACUGGACAGGUGCUGAGAAAUGCACAGUAGCCUUCCACCACGCACCGCACACUCCUUGCUAUCUUGGCUUGGUCCCAUGCCCUUCGUCUAUGGGGACAACGUCACAUUUGCUGAGAUAACGUACACACUGAUAUAGUCAGUGGAUGUUUAGGGCCCUAACACAAACAUAAAAGCUCAGGAUUGUUCUCCAGAACAGGGCCGGGAAAGGACAACUGUCCUCACUCAGGGGAUCAGGAGAACUAGAGUUGGUGAGUUAAAUAAAAUCCAGUCCCUCUUGCUGAAAA